UAUUGGCAUACACAGCAGCAGGAACACCAGCAAACAACAACUGAGAUCAUGACAUUGAGGUUCAUUUGCACGAGGGCAAUGUCACCAUUGAUUACAUAUGGAGGCUCAUUUGCACGAGGGCAAUGUGCAGCAGCGAUCAAUAUAUACUGCAGCAGCUAGGUGGAUUAGCGCGAAGCAUCAGCGAAUUUUUUGGUCGACUCGUCCCUCAGAUGUCACCAUUUCAUCGUGUAGAAAAGGUGUUUACAGAAAGAAUAAACGCCCAGUCAUUAGUUGGGGGCAUUUCGAUCCCCCUGGUGGGUCAAUUUUUUGGAAGGGUGAAACAGGUGACGCCGACAGAGUUACUGCUGUAUCUUGACAACUUUCCUGUAGAGUCUCGAUAUGUAGUGGUUUUUGUACUUAAAACCAAACUGACAAUAGAACAAGUUCAUCAGUCCUUUGCUUGCUU